ACAGAAAAAAAAAAAAAAAAACAACCAACCAAACAAAAAAACACCAAAAAGUUUGUGAUGAUUUGGAAGUCAGUCAAGAUAAAAAGCUCCUGGAUGGUGGCUCUGAGAUUCUACUUUUUAGGGAACUGCAGUCCCACUCUAAAUUAUAGAAACCACUCAGGCACGGAGAGAUUCAUAUCAGGACCCAUGACCAGUGCACACCAUGAGUCUGUCAACCACAUGAUGCACCUACAAAACACCUGACUAAAUGUUGAAUAAUUUACAUACAUAUAUAGAUAUAUAAGAAAGGCAAAUUUCUUUAGAUAAUUGAGAAUCAGCAUGUGCAGACAGGGCAGCUAUACUCCAGCCAUCAGAAAAAAAGAUUUAUGUUAAAAUGAAUUGGCUUUUCAACUCUGAUUACUUUUUAAUCCCAUUGUGUAAUGGAUAGAGUUUGAUUCAGAAAGGGCACAAACAUAACUAUUAUUUCCAGUUAUCAGUUGUGGAGGUAUGUCAACAAAAGACAAAUCUCAUUUAGAAAAAUAGCUGAAAAAAAUCAAUGAAUUGAUAAGUGGAAAGGGAAAAACUGAUAGGGAGGAAAGUAUCUGCAAACUUUCGAGACAGUAGAAAAACAAAGCUAUAAAAAACUCGGUAUUUUGAUGUUACCAAAUAUUCAGAAAUAUUGCAAGAGCUCAGUUUAGACAGGUACUAAAACUACAUAACUUUAAUAGGAAGGGAAGAGAUCCAAUUACAUUCUAACUCAAAUGAACCAGUCAGCAGUCUCCCUGGGUAAGCAAAGAAUAGAGAUUAAGUCCCUUUAUUAAGGAAACAUACAUACUUCACUUAACUUGAAGGAGUUUCCCUUGUCUUGUAGCUCACAAGAACAUGAAGUCCUAAAGAAAAGUAAGUAUUACACUGCCACUUCAUUUGUGAAAGCAAAUUGGAAUUUAUAUUAUUGAUGAGAAUCACUUCUUCACUGAUGUCCUAAAUUAAAAUCCAGCAUAGUAAAAGUGGUAUUUUCUUUCCCAUGGCUUUCAUUUUAAGAGUGGCAAUUUUUCACUAUUCCUUUUAAGUCAUGGGUCAGAGCCUACUGUAAACUAAGUCAGUAAAGCCCCACUGGCACGCUGAACCACUCUGAAUCAGCACUGAUUUAGCCCUGUUUCUUGAAUUUCCUCUUAUAACAAGAAACUGCACAGAACAGUUUGUUUCUUGUCUUACCGACAAUUAAUGAACAUUAUGUAGUUCUGCAAGACAGUGGAAGGAGAGAGAAAGAAGGCCUAAGCAAAACAGAAGUCUAAUGUAUUGUCUAAGUAACCUGCCUAAUGAAAUGAUAAUUGCCCCAAAGGGAAUAAAAGAGUUUAUUUCAUUCAAAAUCUAUGAUACUUUUCUAGUAAAAUGUGAACAAAUUCAAAAUAUCUGAGUGAUGAGAGAAUCUCUAAAUGUUUUGAAAUUGAUUCUGGAUCUAGGUCCAUACUAGAGAUAGCAUUAACACCUUUGUUAGACUUGGACCUCAACUUCAAUAAAUUGAGAAGUUAUUCAGAUUAAGCUCUGCCUUGGGAAGUGGUAUGGAGUUAUUAUGACCUUGAGGGUUGAAUGUGAGUCUGAGUUCUUCAGGCGCAGGGAGUGGUCUAAUCCAAGAGAUUAAUAUAGUAUCCAUUUGAAUUAUGGCUUCUCUAAAAUCAGAACAGUAAUCAAAACUGAAACAGUAAACACAUUGGAAGACUUCUCAUAAACAGGAAAUAUAGAAUCAUAGAAAGAUUCUGUGCUGGAAGGGACCCGUGAGCAUCACUGACUCUACACAGGGCAACCUAAAGGUUAAACCAUAUUUCUAAGAACAUUGUCCAAAUGCUUUUUGAACACUGACAGGCUUGGGACCAUACAGACUUCCUUGGGGAGCUUUUUCCAGUGCUAGACUACCCAGUCAGAGAACAACUUUUUCCUAAUAUCCAGUCUGAACUUACCCUAACACAGCUGUAAGCCAUUCCAUCACAGCCUAUCAAUGAUCACACAAAGUGCCACAAACAAGCAGGCAUAAAUGACCUGUGAAUGAUUGAAUUAACUGACCCAGUUAAAUUAAAAACAAAGACUUGAGUUAUGCCUAGUUUAUUGAUUGAACGUUAUCACAUGCUCACAUGUGCUCAUUGCUGCAGGACAUCCACUCUUUAACCCUCUCAACUUCUACUCUUUGAAAGUUCGCAGCCACUCCAUCAAUUCUCUUUUGUUCUCUUGCCAGACCUAUUCAGCCUCUACUCUAUACCAAACUCCAAGCAAGUGCAGAAAUCCUGGGCUGAAACAGAGCACAGCUAAUUGGUAAUUCUGUGGCAGGCAGCUUGUUUAACAGCCAUGCCACUCCUUUCACAUGAGGUUGCCUCACAAGUGUUUGCUCAAUUCCAUUAUAUUCAUGUUUUCUGUUACCAGUGUUAACCCCUCCAGGGUCUAUCAAUCUGUUAGCUCCUUGCACAACCUUGCUAUGCCUUCUUUUAUGGUACAACCUUCAAACAUAUUACCAUCUGCCUGAGUUCAUUUCCCAUUCAUCUACACAUUUCAAAAGAUGCUUGAUUUCUUGUAGUUCUAAACUUAGUCUUCAAUUGUCCUUGGAAAAACAGGUGGCAUCUAUAUCUUCCUGAACAUCUGGAAGUACCUAACACUGCAUUAGCACGCUAUAAACAGAUAUGAACAGAUAUGGUAAAAUUCACAUUGCACAACUGUUUUGGAUUAAAAGCACUGACUGCAGUGGAAGAGAAGGUUAAGUGGGCCAGGAACAAUAGAGCUCCAGAUUGAACCUGAAAUGAAUGGCUUCAAAGAGAACCCUUUGCAGGAGCCCUUCCCUCGUGCACCAAGCAAAGAGUGCUAGGAGGAAGAACAAGCUGAUGCAAUAGCCUUAAGGAAAGUGGAGGAGCCCUCACAGCUGCAGAUCAGAUAAAACAAUUGAGUUACGUAAGAGGAGAGGCCUCUGCAACAUUUAUCUCAAUAAGAAGAAAAACAAACACAAAAGAGAAACACAUCAUUUCGUCACUGUUAAUGGUAAAUCCUGUCUCCAUCUAAUCUUCAGCAAAAACUGCUUCAUGGUUAUACGAGACUUGUGGCAAACCAGCACAUGGCACCAAUAGUUAAACUGGUUGAUCUUGACCUCUGCUUUCAUGACUAGGUAUGAAAAUAUAUUCUAAUAAACCUCCAGCACAUAGCUACAUUUAUGCUGCAUGUUUUCUCAAGUAUGUACAGAGAUGCAUCAGAUAGCUCCUACAGUGAGAUUAAAAGUGAUAUUUGAAUUGCGUUUCAAGAGUAUAUGUGAUCACAUUAUUGAAUCUUUUGUCUUCUCACUUAUCUGGCAUUGACAGAUUUAUAUCAUUGAUAAAUUACUCUUUGACUCAAA